CAUGUAAAGCAAAAAGGAGAAAGAGAGGUACGACACGAUUUCGCCGGUGAGUGACCGAUGAUGCCUAACCUAUGCUGGUGAAAGCAUACAGCAGAGUGUUUCAUCCGCCUAUUAGUUCGUCACGAAGAUGAUGCAUGCCGCAUGUGGAGUAAUGAUUUAGGGUUCCAACUGCGGAGUUGCAGCGGCAAGCGUCAGCUUUUGACGGAGGCGGCACCUUCUGCCAUCCUAUGACGAUGACUAUCAAGGUGACGCUUUGCAUAGUGUAAGGACUAACUUGGAUAAUCCAAGCAGUGUACUCUAGAGAUGCACAAAAUAUCCGGUUCCGGACCCGACCCGACCACAUACCGAUUCUAGAACCAGGGCGUAGAAAUAGGAACUGAAUCGGACCCGACCCGGAACCACCUAUACCCGGUUAAAAUCCGGACCCGACCCGGCCAAACCGGUCAAAACUAGGUCAAAUACCCGAACGUACCCGGAACCGUUUCCUACCCUACCCGGUUCUUGAUUUUUAGAUCAAACCCGAACCCAGUUCCUGGGUAUUAAAAAACCCCGUUUUGUGCAUCUAAUCGUGUGUACUUCAGGGUAUUAAAAAAAACUUUGUACUCCAAAGCU
rnacentral:lncRNA from 1 species